GAAUAGCUUAUUGAUAUUGUAUAUGCUAACGUUUGGAUGUGGGACAGGAAAGACAGCAUUUAACUGCUGGUAUGCAAUGCUGAAGCUGGGCUGCAUGAAGAGAUUUUCAUUUACUGAUGUUGGAUACGUGCCCAGACUGCCAUAGUAGAAUUCAGGGAGAAACACAGAAAGGAGGAGAACCACAGAAUGGUUUUCGCGAACAUCCAUAUGGGGCAGAAGAAUAAAUACAUACGAAGACCGUGUCUCCAAAAAUGAAAGAACUGGCCACUGGGGGACAAUUGUGAGCACCCCUCCCCAAGUCUCAACUUAGCCCUCUUCGUUUGUACUCGAAGUUUUCACAAAUCCAAGUGCCUGGGAAGAUUUGGGAACUCAGGAUUUUGAUCUCCAUGAAGCACAUUUAUUUCAUCCUACUUCUCUAUUCCUGGUCUGUUGGCUGAUACAUAGGUCCUGCCACUCUCCACAUGCACAGCGACGUUAUUACUUUUUAAAUACGAGACAGCGACAGCGGUUCCCUCCAGUGGAAAAUGUGCAGUCAAAGCCAUUCAGCCACUAAACCAUCACUGAGGAAAACUAGAGAAUGCAGACUGAAAGCCCUGGUCGUGAUGGGCCAUUGUCUCCAGUCCCUGGACUGAACACAGAUGACUCAGGAAAUAGAAGUGGUUGUGUUUUAGAACUUCAGUCUCCCAUCCACCCAAGAAUCUCAAAAAUGGAGUUAAGAAUCUGUAGCUCUAUUCCACAUCAAAGAAGAGAAGCAAGAGUUUCUCACCAAGAGCUGUGCUUCCUACGAGACUGAACAUCUGGGCACCAAACUAUGAUGAAGUAGUGAGAUACUCACCACAGGCACAGAAAUUAAGGAGGCACCAAAAAACUCAUUA